rnacentral:rRNA from 1 species
AGGACGAACGCUGGCGGCGUGCUUAACACAUGCAAGUCGAGCGGAAAGGCCCUUCGGGGUACUCGAGCGGCGAACGGGUGAGUAACACGUGGGCAACCUGCCCUUAGCUCUGGGAUAGCUCCGGGAAACCGGAAUUAAUACCGGAUAUGACCUAGGCCGACAUCGGCCGUGGUGGAAAGUUUUUUCGGCUAGGGAUGGACUCGCGGCCUAUCAGCUAGUUGGUGGGGUAAUGGCCUACCAAGGCGACGACGGGUAGCCGGCCUGAGAGGGCGACCGGCCACACUGGGACUGAGACACGGCCCAGACUCCUACGGGAGGCAGCAGUGGGGAAUCUUGCGCAAUGGGCGAAAGCCUGACGCAGCGACGCCGCGUGGGGGAUGAAGGCCUUCGGGUUGUAAACCCCUUUCAGCAGGGACGAAGCGAAAGUGACGGUACCUGCAGAAGAAGCGCCGGCUAACUACGUGCCAGCAGCCGC